GAAACUUGCCCCGAGAUGAGUUCUCCCUGACCCUUUAAGGGGCCUGAAGGAACGUUGAAGACGACGACGUUGAUAGGCCGGGUGUGUAAGCGCAGCGAUGCGUUGAGCUAACCGGUACUAAUGAACCGUGAGGCUUAACCUUACAACGCCGAAGCUGUU
rnacentral:rRNA from 1 species